rnacentral:lncRNA from 1 species
AUGGCAGGUGGCAAGGAGGCAUCCUACAGGAAAACCCAGCGUGGGCUGAAGGGGAUUCUUGGAAAAGAACCUGGCACAAGCCCAACACCUGAAUUUAGAAGCACCGGGCAGAAGAGAACAGAGGCUGCUGGCUCCAAGACAUGGAUGAAGUUCUCCCUCCUUCCCAAUGAAAGGAAAGUUUCAUAUCAGAGUACAGUCAUAAGUCUUUGA